rnacentral:lncRNA from 1 species
GUGUUUGAUGAGUGUGGACCGCCUUGUCCCCGUACCUGUUUCAACCAGCACAUACCCCUAGGGGAGCUGGCAGCCCACUGCGUGAGGCCCUGUGUUCCAGGCUGCCAGUGUCCUGCAGGCCUGGUGGAGCAUGAAGGCCAUUGCAUCUCACCUGAGGCCUGCCCAUCAGUCCUGCUUACUGGAGGCUAGCCAGCUCGCAUGCUGUCCACUCCCAGUCAGGAGCAGCCUCUGGGUCCACCCUGAGUUAAGAACACCCUCAUC